UUCACCAAGGUACAGACCAUCACAACAAACGCCAAUUCGUUAAGACAGACUAAGAAUAACUUGCUUCCUGUGUCAUACACUGACAGCGAGGGUGUGGAACGAGAAGACAUUUUAUGGUGUACAGAAAUGGAAAGGCUGUUCGGCUUUCCCAGUCAUUACACUGAUGUAAAUAACAUGGGAAGACAACAAAGGCAACGUCUCCUAGGUAACGCGUGGAGCAUACCCGUUAUCAGACAUCUGGUAUCCCCUUUGAAAGACUACUUCAAGUGUCGUGUUGAAACAAAUAAGAUGACGUCAUAAUCACUAAUGACGUCAUGUUGGUAACGUCAUGACGAUACAUAUAAAGUCUGACGUCAACUCUUAAUGUUACUACCCGUACUACUCUAAAAGAGUAGGAUUUGUAAGUAUAUGUAAGGUGACGUCAUUCUUGGUUAUUACGUCAAUGUUGAUAUUUACGUUCACUAUACAUCUCAUUUGCAUUGUUUAACCUACAGUCGUACACGUCAUUGCUGCGUCAUACAUAUCGAGUAGGAAUGACGUCAUAUGAAUGUGAAAUUUCGUUUUAUUAUUAGUUCCAAGAUGAGCAUUAAAAAAAGAAAGAAACA